UCGUGAACGGAAGUCUUUAUUGUGCUCGUGCUCUUUUGCACCUGUCAUGUCACUUUUCAGUGCGACAAGUAACUUUACACGAAAUGAUGCUCCAGAUUUCCAGUUAUUUCGCAAGAGUGAGAGCUCUGAUGAUGAAGAGAAAAGGUCGAAAAGAAGAGAAAAGAACCGAGUUGCUGCACAGAGGAGCCGUAAAAGACAAACUCAGAGAGCUGAUGAGUUGCAUGAGGCAUAUGAAUGUCUGGAACAGGAGAACAGCCUGCUGAG